AUAACUUUAGAUUUUAAGAUCUUCUUAACUGAAAAGUAAAUUAAAAACAAAGAGUAGUGUUUCUAAUAUUAUUGUCAUUAUCUCAUUAUUUAUAUGGGCCCAGUUAGCCUAUUUGAUGCAAAUAAAGCCAGUGUAGUUGAUUUCUUUUUCUUGCCCAGCUUAGUUAAUGGCUAACCUGAGUUAGGCCUGGUAGAAUUCUGUAGAACGCUGCUGUUGUCACAGACAGUGGCCCUUGUGAUUGUCGGGUCUUUCAAGUACAGACUUGCUUUCAGGGGGAAGAUUUUCAAAAAAGUGUGCGUGCAAACCUAUAAACACUAUUAACAUCUAUAUAGUACUUUAUUGUUUCAAAUAUGCUUUUAUACUUAAAAUUUUAUUUAAUCCUCACAACUGCUGUGUGAAUUAGUUUUACUUCCAUAUUAUAGGGUCGUCUUAUUUUAUAGGUUGAGAAACUGAUUCUGAGUAGUUCAGUGACUUACUCAAGGUCACACAGCUAAUACCUCAGUGGAAGUGCAAGAGAUUUGAUUGAACAGAUGUGGCCUCUUUAAGGAACCAAUGUAAGACUAUGAACAAUAAAUUAAGAGUCAUUUUACCUCUUUAGAAGAGGGUGCUUUUUCUCAAGUAUAGCAUUAAGUAGAUUUCUUACUAGAGAAACUUGAAAACAAUAUUUAAAACUAAAUAAAUAUAAAUGAAUAAUUUUUCUGAAGAUUAAAACAGCUGUGAAAUUAGGUAAUUAGGUGAGCAGUAAGAAGUGUGGCAUCGAUUUGAGGUUUAUCUAUAGAGAUGCACGUGUACAUGUGUAUAUAUAGAUUCUGUCACUAAGUUUAUCUAUAGAGAUGCACGUGUACGUGUGUAUAUAUAGAUUCUGUCACUAAGUUUAUCUAUAGAGAUGCACGUGUACGUGUGUAUAUAGAUUCUGUCACUAAGUUUAUCUAUAGAGAUGCACGUGUACGUGUGUAUAUAGAUUCUGUCACUAAGUUUAUCUAUAGAGAUGCACGUGUACGUGUGUAUAUAUAGAUUCUGUCACUAAGUUUAUCUAUAGAGAUGCACGUGUACGUGUGUAUAUA
rnacentral:lncRNA from 1 species